rnacentral:lncRNA from 1 species
UGGGCAACCAAACGGGCACUUCCAAAUUAGCUCGAAGUAUCCAAGCCCAGAGAAGAGAGAAAACACACAUACACUGACAAAUACGCAGAUGCUAACUCGUCUUUCCUGAACUUGAAACAUUUGGGCUAGGUCUUCAUCCUCACCUGCACUGGAAUUACCUACUUAAAAAAACGAUUCACAAAGAAGCAUUUAUCUGCAUUGGGUCCUGUUACAAGUGUACAUACAUCUAGAAUACUUCCAUCUUUACAAUUUUUUAAAAAAGUACUUCAUCGUAUCUGAAGGUUCUCUGCAGAGAGUCACUUUCUGACUCGUUAGGAACUUGAUAACCAAA